rnacentral:rRNA from 1 species
CAAAGAAUCGCUAAAACUAAUAUAAAAUGGCGGUCUUUAUCAAUUAAAGAAACUCGCCCUUUAAUCGUAAACACCCGUUAUAAUCAAACUUUAUUUUAAGUUUAUAUACCGCCGUUUCAGAACUAAAAUAAUCAUAAUUCCAAACCUAUAAACAACAAAAAUCAGGUCAAGGUGUAACUUAUAAUAAAGAUUGGGUAAGUUACAUUAAAAAUAAUUUAAGGAAAAUUUUAAAAUAAUAAAAUUAGAAAAAGAAUUUAGAUGUACAAUUUAGUUAAUAUCUAAAAUAGAAAAAAUAUAUAAAGAUGC